UACAGACAGUCUGGCAAACAGUAUUCAUAAAGUUUGACCUCAAAUCAGGUAGGAUUACCCGCUGAACUUAAGCAUAUCAAUAAGCGGAGGAAAAGAAACCAACCGGGAUUGCCUUAGUAACGGCGAGUGAAGCGGCAAAAGCUCAAAUUUGAAAUCUGGCACCUUCGGUGUCCGAGUUGUAAUUUGAAGAAGCUACUUUGGGGCUAGUCCUUGUCUAUGUUCCUUGGAACAGGACGUCAUGGAGGGUGAGAAUCCCGUAUGGCGAGGAGUCUAGUCCUAUGUAAAGUGCUUUCGACGAGUCGAGUUGUUUGGGAAUGCAGCUCUAAGUGGGUGGUAAAUUCCAUCUAAAGCUAAAUAUUGGCGAGAGACCGAUAGCGAACAAGUACAGUGAUGGAAAGAUGAAAAGAACUUUGAAAAGAGAGUGAAAAAGUACGUGAAAUUGUUGAAAGGGAAGGGCAUUUGAUCAGACAUGGUGUUUUGCGACCCUCGCUCCUUGUGGGUGGGGAUCUCGCAGCUCACUGGGCCAACAUCAGUUUUGGCGGUAGGAUAAAUCUUUGGGAACGUGGCUUGUCUUCGGAGAAGCGUUAUAGCCCAGGGGAAUACUGCCAGCCGGGACUGAGGACUGCGACUUUUGUCAAGGAUGUUGGCAUAAUGGUUAAAUGCCGCCCGUCUUGAAACACGGACCAAGGAGUCUAACGUCUAUGCGAGUGUUUGGG
rnacentral:rRNA from 1 species